AUUUAUUUUUCUUCCAUUUA
rnacentral:sRNA from 1 species